AAGACCAGUUCUAAGGGAUUUCCCUAGUUCAUUCCUGAUCUUUCUUUUCCUAACUCUCGUCUCCAUUUAAGACUUUAAGUCUUUUUUUCUAAAUUUAUUUAUUUAUUUAUUUCCUUUUUAUUUAUUUAUUUAUUUUUCCUGCUCUACAGCUUGGGGACCAAGUUACACAUACAUGUAUACAUACUUUUUCCUCCCAUUGUUGUGUUUCAAUGUAAGUAUCAAGACAUAGUUCCCAAGACUACACAGCAGGAUCUCAUUGUAAAUCCAUCUCUUAAAGUCUUAAAUUCUCCAGCCAUUAAGUCUUCUCCCAAUAGGGUGUUCUGGAAUCUGAACCUAGUGGCCCAGAAGGAACGCCCAGUAUGUGUGUUAUAAGGUGGAGUGAUGUGUGUGUCUGCAGGUUUGUACCAGAGCCAGCAGUAAGGACUGGAAAGGGCAAGACUUUGCACGACGUCUUUUCAACAAUCCAGCGAAACCAGGAGAGGGAGUUCCAGUUGUGGCUCAGUGGUAACGAACCGGACUAGUACCCAUGAGGAUGCAAGUUUGAUCCUUGGCCCCAUUCAGUGGGUUAAGGAUCUGGUGUUCCCAUGAGUGGUGUGGGUCGCAGAUGUGGCUGGGAUCCCGAGUUGCUGUGGCUCUGGUGUAGGCCGGUGGCUACUGCUCUGAUUAGACCCCUAGCCUGGGAACCUCCAUAUGCCAUGAGUGGGGCCCUAAAAAGCAAAAAAUGAAACAAAACAAAACAAAAACCAAACCAAAACAAACGAACAGAACAGGAGAGAAGGGGGUACCUGCUGUGACCCAGAAUCCCUCUCAUGCUGUGGUCCUCUUCCUCCACCUCUUAUGUGGUGUGGGUUAAGGGGAGAAUUGUCACAGGAUAUCACCCUACUGUCCCAUCUUCCCUGUGCUCCUAUCCCCACCCAACUCCAAAUACUUCUUAAGCCACUCAAACCCACAGGAGUAGGAAAGGGGUGCGUUGUUUGGGGGAGGGGCAGUCCCACGUGCCCCAUCUGGGGGAAAGGGCUGACUUUUUGGACCUGAGCCUAAGCGCUUUCUGUCCAUGCCAAGGGCUGCCUCCUGCAUCUGGGCCUGUGGGGUUAGAAGAGCUGCCAAAAUCCUGAACUGGGCAAUGACAGUGGACAGCCUAGAUCUUGGCCACUGACUCUGCCUCAGCCCUAGGGUCAUUCGGGACGUCUCUGGAGUUCCUUCCCCCCGCCAGGCCCUGGAACAGCCAUCCAGGCUCUGAAGUAGACUUGAGAAAGGCAUAAAGAAACCCCACAAGUCCCCUGUUUCAACCUAAAAGCCCUUCCAGGGGCAGGAACCCCAAGUGAGUGAAAAAGUACAAUUCACCAUUAAGCGGGAGUGUGGAGAAUCCCAUCCAGGGCUGUUUCUGGAUGGGACUUGCCCCCAACACUUGCAGUGCAGCCAACAGGAGUAUUUGUCCUUUCUCAAAAGACGAAGCCUGAAACCCUUUGCCUCCUUGUUCCAGAGAUCCAUUCGGCCCUAAACAGCCAGCCUUCCUUCCAGGAUUGCCUGUAGCCCUGAGCAACAGGUGGCUUAUUUCAGGCUGAAGGACAAGAGGCCUACUACCCCUGUGCCAAGGACGUCCCGCGGGGUCCUCACCUUUGAGCCCCGCCCACCAACCAAUGAGGACUCACAGAGGUGACGUCACUACAUCCUGUUUCCCAGCCCAGCCGGGAGCAUGGGACCCGGUGGGGAAAAGAGCCAAUGUAAAUGACGGAUGCCACGACCAUGUUGGUAAAGACGUGGAAGGCAAAUGAGUCAGCAGCAAGUUUAAGCAACGAACAAUUGCACCACGGGGUGUUUCUCAAAUUCUUGUCUACUUUUAGAAAGUAUGCAAUGCCAUCCGGUUGAGCGUCUUGGUUCUGAAAUAGCUACAGAAAAUGUUAAAAAUGCUGUGGGUGAAGAUGUGCCCACAUGUAUCGCUCUUCUAAAACAAUAGUUAACAAUGGCACAGCGUGUCCUCGGCACAUCUUUUCAUCUUGCUGUACCUUAGUUUCCUCACCCGGAACAUGAGCGGAAUGUGUGCACAUUGUCUUGGGAGAUUCCUUUCGGUCUGACGGUCCAUGUUAUGGUAUCAUGCUCACAGUCUUAAUACUCAGACUGGGUCUACACAGUGCCAAGACCACUAGCCAGUUCAGUGAGUGUGGACAAAAUGUUCUCUCCAAUCAAUUCCUUGGCACCAUGUGGCUAAAACAGCCAGGCCUAUGUGUGACUACAGAUGGUGGGAGUAUAAGAAAAAGGACAACUCAUUAUUGAUGUUUCAGAUGCCGUCAUGUUAUGGAUGACACUGGCAGGGACCCCAAGGGAUGAGACCUAUCUCUGCUGGAGAACGUUGGGCAUCUUAAUAGAUAAGAUAAUGAAGCGAAGCCUUAACAGCAAACACUCAUUAAACUUUAACGAUUUCUAUCUACCCUCGUCCCACAAGCAGCUUCCACACAUGCCUCUGCGCAGCUGUGGCCUCAGGACUGAGGCGCAGUGUAGACCGUGUUCAUCGGAACGGCGUUGGAUGACUUUAUUGACCAACUCGGCUCAGCUUUUCUAAGGGGAAAAGCUCUGUUCGUACCAAAGGCUUCUCCAGGCCCUUCCCCAACACCUCUGAUUAAACAGGCUGAGCUCCCCAGAGAACAAUCCGCACCAGGAUGCAGCGAAGCCCAGCAGUGGUCUUUCCUGAUGCUCUGGUCCUCCUCGCCCUGCCCGCUGACGGAUGACUCCGCUCCGUGACUUUACUGAACUCCAGUUCGCCCACCUCCCCACGCUCGUGUCCUUGGCUGUGAGCAGGUGCACUUGUGACCUGGGAGAGAACCCAAACUAACACCGACCCUGACCCCUGACGGGACUGUUAGACUCGCAGCAGAGUCAGAUGGGAGCUGCAGGGCAAGGCUCCCCUUACAUGUGGUCUGAACCCAGGGGAGUUCACCUCGCUGAGUUAAACUCGAUGUGCUGUGACUGCCGGGCCAUGGUGCUUCGUAUCUGACUCCCAAGGGACUCUCCCUCAAGUGACUGCAAGCUCCUUGGGCACUUUUCUAUUUUGGCAUCCCCUGGGAUCAUGCAGAGCACAGAGGGAUGCUCAGGCAGAAAGCACUUUGUGUCUCUGUGUCACCUUUUGGUUAAAAGGACUUUAAAAGUCAUGUUCUGGGAUGGCCUGCUUUGUACCUACCAGAGAGCAGGGUUUGCAGAGUCAGGCGACUUUAGGGGUCUGCUUACACUCUAACCUGAUCAGGGACCUGGUUGCUAAGCGACCUUUCAAUGGAGAUUAGUGAUAACAAACUCAGCAAAGAGCUGAGGCUUGAGAAAGGAAU
rnacentral:lncRNA from 1 species